rnacentral:tRNA from 2 species
GGUCGUUAGCUCAGUUGGGAGAGCAUCGCCCUUACAAGGCGAGGGUCACUGGUUCAAGUCCAGUACGACCCACCA